ACGAACGCUGGCGGCAUGCCUAACACAUGCAAGUCGAACGAGACCUUCGGGUCUAGUGGCGCACGGGUGCGUAACGCGUGGGAACCUGCCCUUAGGUUCGGAAUAACUCCCCGAAAGGGGUGCUAAUACCGGAUAAUGUCUUCGGACCAAAGAUUUAUCGCCUUUGGAUGGGCCCGCGUUGGAUUAGCUAGUUGGUAGGGUAAAAGCCUACCAAGGCGACGAUCCAUAGCUGGUCUGAGAGGAUGAUCAGCCACACUGGGACUGAGACACGGCCCAGACUCCUACGGGAGGCAGCAGUGGGGAAUAUUGGACGAUGGGCGAAAGCCUGAUCCAGCAAUGCCGCGUGAGUGAUGAAGGCCUUAGGGUUGUAAAGCUCUUUUACCCGGGAUGAUAAUGACAGUACCGGGAGAAUAAGCUCCGGCUAACUCCGUG
rnacentral:rRNA from 1 species